UUCAUAAUGGCGUUCAAGCAAGGAGGUUGUAUCAACUGUGCUCUUAUUCAACAUAAAGUUUUUAAGAGAAGUCUUCAUUGGAUGAUACCGUAAAUCAGUAGUUUUCAAUAUUUCCUCUAGCCAUUUUCAAUGAAAGUUAUGUUGAGCCGACAGGUUAAUGUUGAUUUUGUUAUUUUGAGUCGCUGUUCGAUUUCGGCUAAGUUUUCAUGUGAGAAGAAGACUGCGUUAACUUAAAGCGGCAGGAUCCCUCUUCUGAGUGAACCCAAUUUUAUAAACCAUGCUGUUACGUCACAUUGCUGAUUCCAAUAAAUUUAUUUAAAAAUAGCUUCAAACUAUAAUAAAAACAGUGCACAGGUCUAAAUGUUCCGUCUUUACUUCUUUUGUUUCUAGCUUAAUAGAGUCUGGAUGAAAAGUUUGAGGUGCAUAAAUCCAAGAGUGUAACUUGGGGAUUUUAUUCUAUCUUCCUGCUCGAUUAACAGAUGGUUCGGAAGUAUCGGAGAAAGAAAAUGCUUAUAACAAAAAAUUUCCAAGAGGCAGCUUUUAAUAAACUGGGCACUUUAAUUUAGAUCUCAUAAAGUAUAUUAUAUUAUUUAUUUAAUUCAAUUGGCGCGCACUACAUGAAGCCCCUUCGAUGGCCUGUGGAUGUAGGCCAGUACAUGAGUGCAUAAAGAUAAAUACUAUAUUAAGUAUAAGGAUUAUGAAUUAAAAAGUAGAGCAUAAGUUGUACUAUAAGGGAAAUACAAAAAAAAUUGUAAGCCGUAUAGCAUCUGCGGCGUUAGAAGACCGUAGGCUAGUUUAUAUUGGACCAAUUGUGGUGAAUAAAACAUCUUAAAAUAAAUAGUUCGCUAGGUUACUACAAUUUUUCUAUGUAUGGAAUCUAUGUGCUUCUCAAAAAUGAGACGAUGGUCAAUAUAUGUGUGUAAGCACUUAAGAAAGUCAACAAGUAUCUAUUGUUGUCUACGUUGUCACCAAUAAGGAUAUCCACAUGGGGAUGAUUAAUAUUACCAUAAAACAUUAGUUUUGAUUUAGAUAGGUUGAUGACUAGAAUAUUCGCCAAUAACAAUUCUAAAAGCCCAUCACAAUUGCUACUAUAAGUGCUAAAAGGAAGAAUCUCAUC